rnacentral:rRNA from 1 species
GUGGGGAAUAUUGGGCAAUGGGCGAAAGCCUGACCCAGCAACGCCGCGUGAAGGAAGAAGGUCUUCGGAUCGUAAACUUCUAUCCUUGGUGAAGAUAAUGACGGUAGCCGAGAAGGAAGCCCCGGCUAACUACGUGCCAGCAGCCGCGGUAAUACGUAGGGGGCAAGCGUUGUCCGGAAUGAUUGGGCGUAAAGGGCGCGUAGGCGGCCUGGUAAGUCUGGAGUGAAAGUCCUGCUUUUAAGGUGGGAAUUGCUUUGGAUACUGUUGGGCUUGAGUGCAGGAGAGGUAAGUGGAAUUCCCGGUGUAGCGGUGAAAUGCGUAGAGAUCGGGAGGAACACCAGUGGCGAAGGCGACUUACUGGACUGUAACUGACGCUGAGGCGCGAAAGUGUGGGGAGCAAACAGGAUUAGAAACCCGGGUAGUCC